rnacentral:rRNA from 1 species
CAGCUUGCUGGGUGGAUGAGUGGCGAACGGGUGAGUAACACGUGAGUAACCUGCCCCCUUCUUUGGGAUAACGCCCGGAAACGGGUGCUAAUACUGGAUAUUCACUGGCCUUCGCAUGGGGGUUGGUGGAAAGGUUUUUUCUGGUGGGGGAUGGGCUCGCGGCCUAUCAGUUUGUUGGUGGGGUGAUGGCCUACCAAGGCUUUGACGGGUAGCCGGCCUGAGAGGGUGACCGGUCACAUUGGGACUGAGAUACGGCCCAGACUCCUACGGGAGGCAGCAGUGGGGAAUAUUGCACGAUGGGCGAAAGCCUGAUGCAGCGACGCCGCGUGAGGGAUGACGGCCUUCGGGUUGUAAACCUCUUUCGCUCAUGGUCAAGCCGCAGCUUUGGGUUGUGGUGAGGGUAGUGGGUAAAGAAGCGCCGGCUAACUACGUGCCAGCAGCCGCGGUAAUACGUAGGGCGCGAGCGUUGUCCGGAAUUAUUGGGCGUAAAGGGCUUGUAGGCGGUUGGUCGCGUCUGCCGUGAAAUCCUCUGGCUUAACUGGGGGCGUGCGGUGGGUACGGGCUGACUUGAGUGCGGUAGGGGAGACUGGAACUCCUGGUGUAGCGGUGGAAUGCGCAGAUAUCAGGAAGAACACCGG